rnacentral:rRNA from 1 species
UGGGGAAUAUUGCACAAUGGGCGCAAGCCUGAUGCAGCCAUGCCGCGUGUGUGAAGAAGGCCUUCGGGUUGUAAAGCACUUUCAGCGGGGAGGAAGGCGAUAAGGUUAAUAACCUUGUCGAUUGACGUUACCCGCAGAAGAAGCACCGGCUAACUCCGUGCCAGCAGCCGCGGUAAUACGGAGGGUGCAAGCGUUAAUCGGAAUUACUGGGCGUAAAGCGCACGCAGGCGGUCUGUCAAGUCGGAUGUGAAAUCCCCGGGCUUAACCUGGGAACUGCAUUCGAAACUGGCAGGCUAGAGGCUUGUAGAGGGGGGUAGAAUUCCAGGUGUAGCGGUGAAAUGCGUAGAGAUCUGGAGGAAUACCGGUGGCGAAGGCGGCCCCCUGGACAAAGACUGACGCUCAGGUGCGAAAGCGUGGGGAGCAAACAGG